UACAGAGGGUGCAAGCGUUAAUCGGAAUUAUUGGGCGUAAAGGGCUUGUAGGCGGUUUAUUAAGUUAGGUGUGAAAACCCUGGGCUCAACCUGGGGCUGGCAUCUAAUACUGGUAAGCUAGAGUAUAGGAGAGGAGAAGGGAAUUUCUGGUGUAGCGGUGAAAUGCGUAGAUAUCAGAAGGAACAUCAGUGGCGAAGGCGCUUCUCUGGCCUAAUACUGACGCUGAGGAGCGAAGGCGUGGGGAUCAAAC
rnacentral:rRNA from 1 species